rnacentral:rRNA from 1 species
UACGGAGGGUGCAAGCGUUAUCCGGAUUCACUGGGUUUAAAGGGUGCGUAGGAGGGCAGGAAAGUCAGUUGUGAAAUCUCCGGGCUUAACUCGGAAAGGUCAACUGAUACUGUGCGACUAGAGUGCAGAAGGGGCAACUGGAAUUCUCGGUGUAGCGGUGAAAUGCGUAGAUAUCGAGAGGAACACCUGCGGCGAAGGCGGGUUGCUGGGCUGACACUGACGCUGAUGCGCGAAAGCCAGGGGAGCGAACGGG